AAAAGCUCAAAUUUGUAAUCUGGCGUCUUCGACGUCCGAGUUGUAAUCUCGAGAAGUGUUUUCCGUGAUAGACCGCAUACAAGUCUCUUGGAACAGAGCGUCAUAGUGGUGAGAACCCAGUACACGAUGCGGAUGCCUAUUACUUUGUGAUACACUUUCGAAGAGUCGAGUUGUUUGGGAAUGCAGCUCAAAUUGGGUGGUAAAUUCCAUCUAAAGCUAAAUAUUGGCGAGAGACCGAUAGCGAACAAGUACCGUGAGGGAAAGAUGAAAAGCACUUUGGAAAGAGAGUUAACAGUACGUGAAAUUGUUGGAAGGGAAACACAUGCAGUGAUACUUGCUAUUCGGGGCAACUCGAUUGGCAGGCCCGCAUCAGUUUUUCGGGGCGGAAAAUCGUAGAGAGAAGGUAGCAGUUUCGGCUGUGUUAUAGCUCUUUACUGGAUUCGCCCUGGGGGACUGAGGAACGCAGCGUGCUUUUAGCAUGAGCUUCGGCUUAUCCACGCUUAGGAUGCGGGUUUAUGGCUGUAUAUGACCCGU
rnacentral:rRNA from 1 species